UACAGAGGUGGCAAGCGUUGUUCGGAAUUACUGGGCGUAAAGGGCGCGUAGGCGGUCCGAUAAGUCCCGUGUGAAAUCCCUCGGCUCAACUGGGGAACUGCACGGGAAACUGGGAGGCUUGAGUUCGGGAGAGGGAAGCGGAAUUCCGGGUGUAGCGGUGAAAUGCGUAGAUAUCCGGAGGAACACCGGUGGCGAAGGCGGCUUCCUGGACCGACACUGACGCUGAGGCGCGAAAGCUAGGGGAGCAAACGGG
rnacentral:rRNA from 1 species